rnacentral:rRNA from 1 species
GACGAACCGGACAAACGUUAUUCGGAAUUACUGGGCUUAAAGGGUUUGUAGGCGGCUUUGUAAGUCAGGUGUGAAAUCCCUCGGCUCAACCGAGGAAUGGCGCUUGAUACUGCACGGCUUGAGGGAGACAGGGGUAAGCGGAACUGAUGGUGGAGCGGUGAAAUGCGUUGAUACCAGCAGGAACACCGGUGGCGAAAGCGGCUUACUGGGUCUCUUCUGACGCUGAGGAACGAAAGCUAGGGGAGCGAACGGG